CCACGACGCACGCACGACGCAACGGUCUUGAUAAGUUCAUGCUACAUCGUUUCGAAUGGUGGCGACGAGAAACUGCAACCUAACUCUUCGAAAAAUCCGAGAGAUAACGUUACUCACCCAUUCCAACUCUUCGCUGUUUUCCGAGUGCGGGCUUUUUGCAGUUCAGGCGAUAGGGGCGAUAGCCACUAUUUUACAAAUCAAAACGCUCUGUGGUUUUUUGAUCUCAGAUCUCAGAUAAAACAAUCUCCCGGAAUUGGAGAAACAAAAUGGGAUGUGAAAUUGCAGACAAACAGCGUGCAUUGACAAUAAUGUUGCAGCAAAUAUCAAAACUAGUAAAAGCGUCGCAGAAUUUUUUCCUCAAAAAGCAGUGAAUAAAGAAAAAGAAGAAAUAUCAAAAGAGCAUCCAAAGGCGCCUUGAUCUGGAAUUUCAACAGUUUCUCCUUACGAAUACAAUUAAAUAAAAAGGAACCACGCCACAUGUGCCUGAAAGAUGAAGAAUCGAUGAAGAUGAAAUACCAUGAAACAAUUUAUGAAGAUCCGAGUAAUGAUGAUUUACUCUAUAGGUGUAUUGAUGGCUUCAAUAAAAACAGCAACGAAAGCUUCAAUCAGAUGAUCCAGUAAAAUGUUGUAGUGGUCGCCACGAAGCACUACUUGGAAAAGGGGGUCCACAAAGAUAUGGUGAUAUUUGUAUAAAUAAUUGAUCUUUUUUUUGUAAUUUUGUAAAGUCAAGUUAAGACAUAAUAUUGAAACUCUGUGUAAUCAGUUUUAUGAGAUGAACUUAAUAAAAAUGAAAAGACCCCAUUUUAGCA